UUCAGUUGUAUGAAAGCUAUCGCAGCUAACGGAGAAAACUAAACCCAGAAGCAAUAUAAGUCACAAUAAUUUACACAACAAACAAGUGCGCUAAUUACAGUUCAACUUUAACGGAAAAUCUCUAUACUUUGAAAAAUCUUCAAUAUAAUCAAAAAACGCCUCGAACAAUAACUAAAAUACAAAACACAAUUGGAGCGCAGACAAUUGAGGAAAAAGCUGGAACGAACGCCCACACGACAAGUCACACAAACAGUAGAAAGGUAAGCAAAUCAAGGAUAAGUCACUCGACUGUCACACAUGGCGUAUACGCAAUUCCUAAUUCCAGAGACACACAGGCAAAACGGGCAAA